rnacentral:rRNA from 1 species
CUCAGGACGAACGCUGGCGGCGUGCCUAAUACAUGCAAGUCGAACGAACUCUGGUAUUGAUUGGUGCUUGCAUCAUGAUUUACAUUUGAGUGAGUGGCGAACUGGUGAGUAACACGUGGGAAACCUGCCCAGAAGCGGGGGAUAACACCUGGAAACAGAUGCUAAUACCGCAUAACAACUUGGACCGCAUGGUCCGAGCUUGAAAGAUGGCUUCGGCUAUCACUUUUGGAUGGUCCCGCGGCGUAUUAGCUAGAUGGUGGGGUAACGGCUCACCAUGGCAAUGAUACGUAGCCGACCUGAGAGGGUAAUCGGCCACAUUGGGACUGAGACACGGCCCAAACUCCUACGGGAGGCAGCAGUAGGGAAUCUUCCACAAUGGACGAAAGUCUGAUGGAGCAACGCCGCGUGAGUGAAGAAGGGUUUCGGCUCGUAAAACUCUGUUGUUAAAGAAGAACAUAUCUGAGAGUAACUGUUCAGGUAUUGACGGUAUUUAACCAGAAAGCCACGGCUAACUACGUGCCAGCAGCCGCGGUAAUACGUAGGUGGCAAGCGUUGUCCGGAUUUAUUGGGCGUAAAGCGAGCGCAGGCGGUUUUUUAAGUCUGAUGUGAAAGCCUUCGGCUCAACCGAAGAAGUGCAUCGGAAACUGGGAAACUUGAGUGCAGAAGAGGACAGUGGAACUCCAUGUGUAGCGGUGAAAUGCGUAGAUAUAUGGAAGAACACCAGUGGCGAAGGCGGCUGUCUGGUCUGUAACUGACGCUGAGGCUCGAAAGUAUGGGUAGCAAACAGGAUUAGAUACCCUGGUAGUCCAUACCGUAAACGAUGAAUGCUAAGUGUUGGAGGGUUUCCGCCCUUCAGUGCUGCAGCUAACGCAUUAAGCAUUCCGCCUGGGGAGUACGGCCGCAAGGCUGAAACUCAAAGGAAUUGACGGGGGCCCGCACAAGCGGUGGAGCAUGUGGUUUAAUUCGAAGCUACGCGAAGAACCUUACCAGGUCUUGACAUACUAUGCAAAUCUAAGAGAUUAGACGUUCCCUUCGGGGACAUGGAUACAGGUGGUGCAUGGUUGUCGUCAGCUCGUGUCGUGAGAUGUUGGGUUAAGUCCCGCAACGAGCGCAACCCUUAUUAUCAGUUGCCAGCAUUAAGUUGGGCACUCUGGUGAGACUGCCGGUGACAAACCGGAGGAAGGUGGGGAUGACGUCAAAUCAUCAUGCCCCUUAUGACCUGGGCUACACACGUGCUACAAUGGAUGGUACAACGAGUUGCGAACUCGCGAGAGUAAGCUAAUCUCUUAAAGCCAUUCUCAGUUCGGAUUGUAGGCUGCAACUCGCCUACAUGAAGUCGGAAUCGCUAGUAAUCGCGGAUCAGCAUGCCGCGGUGAAUACGUUCCCGGGCCUUGUACACACCGCCCGUCACACCAUGAGAGUUUGUAACACCCAAAGUCGGUGGGGUAACCUUUUAGGAACCAGCCGCCUAAGGUGGGACAGAUGAUUAGGGUGAAGUCGUAACAA